GCGUAGGUGGCCUGUCAAGUCGGAUGUGAAAUCUCCCGGCUCAACUGGGAGGGUGCAUUCGAUACUGGCGGGCUAGAGUGCAGCAGAGGGAGGUGGAAUUCCCGGUGUAGUGGUGAAAUGCGUAGAUAUCGGGAAGAACACUAGUGGCGAAGGCGGCCUCCUGGGCUGUAACUGACACUGAGGCCCGAAGGCGUGGGGAGCAAACAGGAUUAGAUACCCUGGUAGUCCACGCAGUAAACGAUGGAUACUAGGUAUGGGGAGUAUCGACCCUCUCUGUGCCGAAGCUAACGCUUUAAGUAUCCCGCCUGGGGACUACGGUCGCAAGACUAAA
rnacentral:rRNA from 1 species